GGUUAAGCGACUAAGCGUACACGGUGGAUGCCCUGGCAGUCAGAGGCGAUGAAGGGCGUGCUAAUCUGCGAUAAGCGCCGGUAAGGUGAUAUGAACCGUUAUAACCGGCGAUACCCGAAUGGGGAAACCCAGUGYRAYUCGUYRCACUAUCRUUAACUGAAUCCAUAGGUUAAYGAGGCGAACCGGGGGAACUGAAACAUCUAAGUACCCCGAGGAAAAGAAAUCAACCGAGAUUCCCCCAGUAGCGGCGAGCGAACGGGGAGGAGCCCAGAGCCUGAAUCAGCAUGUGUGUUAGUGGAAGCGUCUGGAAAGGCGCGCGAUACAGGGUGACAGCCCCGUACACAAAAGCGCAUGUGCUGUGAGCUCGAUGAGUAGGGCGGGACACGUGGUAUCCUGUCUGAAUAUGGGGGGACCAUCCUCCAA
rnacentral:rRNA from 1 species